rnacentral:rRNA from 1 species
AACUAGUACUUAUUGUCCUUAUAAAUAGGUAUAUAAAUAAAGUACUUUUUGUGGACAUUGGGGGGUCGUGAUGACUUUAUCAGUGAGUUUUUGUUCUCGGAAGGACUAGAUAUGUAUAUUGAAUAAUCAGACAUAGUACGAUAAGGUUGUAUGUCUAAAGGGAAACAGCCCAGAACAAGAGUUAAUAAGGUUCCAAAAUUAUUGUUAAGUGAAAUUAAGGCAGUAUUUAUUCCAAACAGCCAGGCAAUAGGCUUAGAAGCGGCCAUUUUCUGAAGACCUCGUAACAGAGCACUGGUUUUAUUUAUAAUAAGGAUAAAAGCACCGAUAAUUUAACGGAUCUAAACAAUAUACCGAGACCUUGUCUAAAUAUAUUAAUGUUUACAUACAUUACAUUGUAUAUUUAGGGUAGCAGAACGUUGGUGAAGUUUAUUAUUAUGCCUUUAUAAGGCAUACAUAUGUAUAUAUAUACAUAACAAACCAAGUGAUAAUGCUGACAUGAGUAACGAUAAAGGGGUAUACCCUCGCCUAAAGCUUAUGGAAUUUAAUUAAAGUUACGGCCUCUAAGUUUAUUAUAUAUUUAAUGAAUAAUCUGUUAUUCAUUAAUAAUCCCAAAAGGGGUAAACGAUGAGCAAAUCUAGGAUUUAUAGAAUACAACAUUUUUACAUAGUGACAAAUGUUCUGGAAAACUAUAGAUCUCAUUUGCUAAAUAAUAAUAAACUAAAUCAGAUGAAAUGUUUAGCAAAUGUUUUACCGUACCUAAAUACUAACACAAGUAAGCAA